GACGAACGCUGGCGGCGUGCCUAAUACAUGCAAGUUGAGCGAUGAAGAUUGGUGCUUGCACCAAUUUGAAGAGCAGCGAACGGGUGAGUAACGCGUGGGGAAUCUGCCUUUGAGCGGGGGGCAACAUUUGGAAACGAAUGCUAAUACCGCAUAACAACUUUAAACAUAAGUUUUAAGUUUGAAAGGUGCAAUUGCAUCACUCAAAGAUGAUCCCGCGUUGUAUUAGCUAGUUGGUGAGGUAAAGGCUCACCAAGGCGAUGAUACAUAGCCGACCUGAGAGGGUGAUCGGCCACAUUGGGACUGAGACACGGCCCAAACUCCUACGGGAGGCAGCAGUAGGGAAUCUUCGGCAAUGGACGAAAGUCUGACCGAGCAACGCCGCGUGAGUGAAGAAGGUUUUCGGAUCGUAAAACUCUGUUGGUAGAGAAGAACGUUGGUGAGAGUGGAAAGCUCAUCAAGUGACGGUAACUACCCAGAAAGGGACGGCUAACUACGUG
rnacentral:rRNA from 1 species